AGUAGACAGCUUUGAAUGAACUAUAAAUAAUAGUUGAAUUAUAGAGAAUGUUGCAUAUGAACAUGAAAUGUAUUAAAUUGAUAAUUAAAUUUAUUUAUUUAGAUCCAGAAGAUUCAAAUAUGAAGCUAGAUCGAGGAAAGGAAAAAGUUCGGGAUUAAUAGAUUUUUACUGUUUACAAACAAGUAUCAAGUGUUAAGAGCUCGGAGGUCGGAUUUGGUCAGAGACACAUCACACUGUCAACCUCAGGAUUUCGGUAUAUAAAGAAACUUUAUUUUGGAAAUCAAUGGCAUGUAUAAGCUAACAAAGUAAAUGUUAACGUGAAAUGAAUGUAAAGUUAGCCAUUAGUAUGGUUAACAAACCUGGUUAUAGAUAUGUGAUGACGUUAUCUUAUAUAAAUGCAUGAAUCUAUCAUGAAAAUA